rnacentral:rRNA from 1 species
GACGAACGCUGGCGGCGCGCCUAACACAUGCAAGUCGAACGAGCGAGAGAGAGCUUGCUUUCUCGAGCGAGUGGCGAACGGGUGAGUAACGCGUGAGGAACCUGCCUCAAAGAGGGGGACAACAGUUGGAAACGACUGCUAAUACCGCAUAAGCCCACGGCUCGGCAUCGAGCGGGGGGAAAAGGAGCAAUCCGCUUUGAGAUGGCCUCGCGUCCGAUUAGCUAGUUGGUGGGGUAACGGCCCACCAAGGCGACGAUCGGUAGCCGGACUGAGAGGUUGAACGGCCACAUUGGGACUGAGACACGGCCCAGACUCCUACGGGAAGCAGCAGUGGGGAAUAUUGCACAAUGGGGGAAACCCUGAUGCAGCGACGCCGCGUGGAGGAAGAAGGUCUUCGGAUUGUAAACUCCUGUUGUUGGGGAAGAUAAUGACGGUACCCAACAAGGAAGUGACGGCUAACUACGUG